CUUUUUCUCUCACACAGUUUGAUAAAUCUUGGCCUAAGAAUUUUUGGUAAUCCAUAUAGUUAAGAAGAAAGUACAGGCAACUCACCACGUUGUAGUAACUUCGUGUUUAUUACUGGGACAUGCAGGAACUUCAACAGAUCGUCUCCAUUCACCUGUGCACGUGACUAUAUAUCUCCUCCUUCAUCUGUGACGUCGUGCCGAGGGCAGAACUUUUUACUUCAAAAUGCGGUGGAUACGGAGGUAUUGACCCCAAAACAGAGAGAUUCUUUAUUACCCAAUGAUCCUAUGAUUGCAUCCAUUUACCUGUUACCUAAGUUGAAACCCUGCCAUCGCAUCUAAAAGAUGGCAAUGAUGUUUUGAGAAAAAUUGACAAUAUACAAUUGGAGGAUAACAUGAUUAUUGCUACGUGUGAUGUUAAAUCUUUACAUCCAUCCAUCAGACACCAAGAAUUGAGGAGGGUACUCCAGAUGAGCUGGAAGGAUUUAUUGGAUGACUGGACUCCAACUCCAUUAACCCCUUUACCCAACAGCCUGUUUUGACCUUUAUGACCAAGGCAAAUUUUCAAAAUCUGACAUGCGUCCACUUAUUUGAAUGUGAUGGUUGAUAGUAUUCAGUUCUUUGACAAUGAGCUACACAAGAAUGGAGUGUCAUAAUGUGUCAACUGCAAUCUGAUUCGUCUUCAGCAAUUCUACUGCCUGAAAAGAAAGCAAAAGGAAGCGCUCUCCUCCAGUUCUCCUCUAGCUUAUUAAUACUUGGAAAUAGUGGUCCUUGGACUUUUGUAUAUGUUUAAUUUUUGGAUGUUAGCACCUAUUCUGUCUCUCAUAAUUCUGUUUACUGGUUAAGACCAUUAAAUCACCUU